CCCUUAGAUGUCCGGGGCCGCACGCGCGCUACACUGAAGGAAUCAGCGUGGCUUUCUCCCUGACCCGAAAGGGUUGGGAAACCCGUUGAAUCUCCUUCGUGAUAGGGAUUGGGGCUUGAAAUUGUUCCCCAUGAACGAGGAAUUCCCAGUAAGCGCGAGUCAUAAGCUCGCGUUGAUUACGUGCCUGCCCUUUGUACACACCGCCCGUCGCUACUACCGAUUGAACGGUUUAGUGAGGGCCUCGGAUUGGUCUCGGCCCGCUCUUUACCGGGCGGCGCCGUUGGUCGAGAAGACGCUCGAACUUGAUCGUUUAGAGGAAGUAAAAGUCGUAACA
rnacentral:rRNA from 1 species